AACGGCCGUACCAUGCUGAAUAUACCGGUUUUCGUUAGAUCACCGAAGUCAAGCAUCAUUGGGCGCGGUCAGUACUUGGGAGGGUGACCACCUGGGAACACCGCGUGCCGUU
rnacentral:rRNA from 1 species